CCCAGAGCUGGCUGCUUGGGAGAGAGAGGUGGAGCCAAAGGCAGAGGGAGGAAGGGAGGGAGGGGGCAGCAAACGAGCAGGGAGAGAGCUACACACACAGCUCCUACAAUUACCUAACUCCAAUCCUUCCCCCGCUGCCUAGACUACAGUGGAGGAGCAGAUAACACACUGUACUCCAACCAGCAACAGAGUCAAACUAAUGUGGAGGAUGAAGAAUCACACCAAACAUUACAACGUGAAUAUUUUUUAGUCCAAAAAUUAAAUGGCAAAGUUGUCGAUGAUGCUGGUGAUGGUCACAUUCUGCCUGGAAGCCAUUAUUUCACAACCAGCUAAUCAACCUGCAACCCUGGAAGCGAUUAAAGUGAAGUAGCUGAACCAUACGACCAGGAACAAAAUAUCCACUCUGAGGAU